rnacentral:lncRNA from 1 species
AUUAAGAAACAAAGUAAAAGCUGUACCUCUAAAUGUGAAUAACUGAAACCCAACUGCCUCCUUUUGACUACAUUGUACUCCUCCAGAAAAACCCACACACACAUAAACAAACAAACAAUAAAUAAAUAAAUAAAUAAACAAACAAAUGGUUCAGAGUGACAGAAUCCACUGCGGUAAGGUAACUCAAAACAGCAGACCAAAUAGCUCCGCUUGACUAUACUGCGCUCCUAAAAUAAAUCUACAUAUAACACACACACUCUC